AUUCCAUGAUGAGGAAACUUUCUAAUUAUGUCCUUGUAUCUCUCCUAGACUUCAUAUAGAGAAUCAUUGUCAUGUUGCAUGAAAUUGUUGAUUUCAAAUCUCAGUUU